GUGCUUAUUUUGGUAGCACAUAUACUGAAAUUGGACCCAAACAAAGAAGAUUAGCAUGUCUAAGAAUGACAGACAUGCAAAUGCAUAAAGCACUCCAUACUUUU
ensembl:snRNA U6 U6 spliceosomal RNA